GUGGGGAAUAUUGGACAAUGGGCGCAAGCCUGAUCCAGCAAUGCCGCGUGAGUGAAGAAGGUCUUCGGAUUGUAAAGCUCUUUCGACGGGGACGAUGAUGACGGUACCCGUAGAAGAAGCCCCGGCUAACUUCGUGCCAGCAGCCGCGGUAAUACGAAGGGGGCUAGCGUUGCUCGGAAUGACUGGGCGUAAAGGGCGCGUAGGCGGUUCGUACAGUCAGACGUGAAAUUCCCGGGCUCAACCUGGGGGCUGCGUUUGAUACGUGCGGGCUUGAGUUCGGAAGAGGGUCGUGGAAUUCCCAGUGUAGAGGUGAAAUUCGUAGAUAUUGGGAAGAACACCGGUGGCGAAGGCGGCGACCUGGUCCGAUACUGACGCUGAGGCGCGAAAGCGUGGGGAGCAAACAGGAUUAGAUACCCUUGUAGUCC
rnacentral:rRNA from 1 species